UCGACGAUGAAUCUUCUAGCUUGCUAGAAGUGGAUUAGUGGCGCACGGGUGAGUAAUGCAUAGGUUAUGUGCCCUUUAGUCUGGGAUAGCCACUGGAAACGGUGAUUAAUACUGGAUACUCCCUACGGGGGAAAGUUUUUCGCUAAAGGAUCAGCCUAUGUCCUAUCAGCUUGUUGGUGAGGUAAUGGCUCACCAAGGCUAUGACGGGUAUCCGGCCUGAGAGGGUGAUCGGACACACUGGAACUGAGACACGGCCCAGACUCCUACGGGAGGCAGCAGUAGGGAAUAUUGCUCAAUGGGGGAAACCCUGAAGCAGCAACGCCGCGUGGAGGAUGAAGGUUUUAGGAUUGUAAACUCCUUUUGUUAGAGAAGAUUAUGACGGUAUCUAACGAAUAAGCACCGGCUAACUCCGUGCCAGCAGCCGCGGUAAUACGGAGGGUGCAAGCGUUACUCGGAAUCACUGGGCGUAAAGAGUGCGUAGGCGGGGUAAUAAGUCAGAUGUGAAAUCCUGUAGCUUAACUACAGAACUGCAUUUGAAACUGUUACUCUGGAGUGUGGGAGAGGUAGGUGGAAUUCUUGGUGUAGGGGUAAAAUCCGUAGAGAUCAAGAGGAAUACUCAUUGCGAAGGCGACCUGCUGGAACAUUACUGACGCUGAUGCACAAAAGCGUGGGGAGCAAACAGGAUUAGAUACCCUGGUAGUCCACGCCCUAAACGAUGGAUGCUAGUUGUUGCCUUGCUUGUCAGGGCAGUAAUGCAGCUAACGCAUUAAGCAUCCCGCCUGGGGAGUACGGUCGCAAGAUUAAAACUCAAAGGAAUAGACGGGGACCCGCACAAGCGGUGGAGCAUGUGGUUUAAUUCGAAGAUACGCGAAGAACCUUACCUAGGCUUGACAUUGAU
rnacentral:rRNA from 1 species